CAUGGUUUCUUGAAAUUUUUAAGAAAUUUGACCUGCCCACUGAAUAAAUAAUUUGAAGGGCCGCAGUAUUUUGACUGUGCAAAGGUAGCAUAAUCAUUAGUCUUUUAAUUAAGGGCUAGUAUGAAUGGUUGGACGAGGUGAAUUCUGUUUUAUGUUAAUUUAGAUUGAACUUAGGUUUUAAGUAAAAAAUCUUAAAUGUUAUUAAGGGACGAGAAGACCCUAUAGAGUUUAAUAUAUGUAAUAAUAUAAUUGAGUUAAAAUUUAAUUUUUGAUUAUUAUGAAAUUUAUUUAAUUGGGGUGAUUAAGAGAUAAGUAAAACUCUUUUUAAACUUUAAUAGUAUAAUUAGAUGUAUGAUCCAUAAUUAAUGAUUAAGAGAUUAAAUUACCUUAGGGAUAACAGCAUAAUUCUUUUUGAGAGUUCAUAUUGAAAAAAGAGAUUGUGACCUCGAUGUUGGAUUAAGAUUAGUUUUGGGUGCAGAUGUUCAAUAACUAGGUCUGUUCGACCUUGAAAAUCUUACAUGA
rnacentral:rRNA from 1 species